rnacentral:rRNA from 1 species
ACAUAACUGAUGCCUCCGCGUAUCGACUUUGUGCGCAUUUUAGCUAUUAUGUGUUCUUUUAAUUAAAAUGAUUCUUUUUAAGAUUCAUCUAUUAAAAAUUUGCUUCGGCAUAAUUUUUUUUGAUGAUCUCGUUACUUUGAGUAAAUUAGAGUGUUCAAAGCAAACAGAUAUAGCAUUUGUGCGUUUGAAUACUACAGCAUGGAAUAACAAAAUUGAACAAGUCAGAAUUUUUUUGUUCUUUUUUCUUAUUUUGGCUUAGUUACGAUUAAUAGGAGUAGCUUGGGGGCAUUUGUAUUCAGAUGUCAGAGGUGAAAUUCUUAGAUUUUCUGGAGACAAACAACUGCGAAAGCAUUUGCCUAAAAUACUUCCAUUAAUCAAGAACGAAAGUUAAGGGAGUGAAGACGAUCAGAUACCGUCGUAAUCUUAACCAUAAACUAUGCCGACUAGGCUUUGGAUGAAAGAUUUUAAAAUAAGAGUUUUUCUUUUCUCUCCGGAGAUUAGAACUCUUAGAUUGCUUCCUUCAGUGCCUUAUGAGAAAUCAAAGUCCUUGGGUUCUGGGGCGAGUAUUCGCGCAAGCGAGAAAGUUAAAAGAAUUGACGGAAGGGCACCACCAGGCGUGGAGCUUGCGGCUUAAUUUGACUCAACACGGGAAAACUCACUAGUUUAAGACAAGAGUAGGAUUGACAGAUUAAUAGCUCUUUCUUGAUUUCUUGGAUGGUGAUGCAUGGCCGUUUUUAGUUCGUGAAUAUGAUUUGUCUGGUUAAUUCCGAUAACGAACGAGAUCUUAACCUGCUAAUUAGCGGCAAAUACUAUAUAUUCUUAUGUAGAAUUGAAUAUAGUGGAUUUGUUAGAUUUUGAAGAAAAUAUUGGAAAUUACGUUAAAUGUGAUUCCUUUCCCUUUUCUACUUAAAUUUACAUUUUCCAUCUAUUUCUUUUUUGCGUAUGAAUGUAUUUGCUUGAUUGUAAAGCUUCUUAGAGGAACGAUGUGUG